UACGUAGGGUGCGAGCGUUGUCCGGAAUUAUUGGGCGUAAAGAGCUCGUAGGCGGUCUGUCGCGUCGAUCGUGAAAACUUGGGGCUUAACCUCGAGACGCCGGUUGAAACCAUCAGGCUAGAGUCCGGAAGAGGAGAGUGGAAUUCCCGGUGUAGCGGUGAAAUGCGCAGAUAUCGGGAGGAACACCAGUAGCGAAGGCGGCACUCUGGGCCGGUACUGACACUGAGGAGCGAAAGCGUGGGGAGCGAACAGG
rnacentral:rRNA from 1 species